UGCCAGACAAGUUAGUGUUGGGCUUUAGUAGGAGGCCUGAGUUCUUUGUGGACCCCUCAUUAGGGCUCUUGGAAGUUGACUUCAUCCUGAAUUAGUGAGUCAACAGAUGAUGGAAGGUACAAAGAAAUUAAGAUAACAUGAAGGCAUUUCUUCUAAGAACAAUAAAAGAAAUGUGACAGAAGACACAGGAAAAAGUCCAAAAAUUGCCUCUGGUAUGAAAGCUGUUCAGUGGUCCCAGUGUGUGGAGGAGAGGAACUGUUGUCUGUCAGUUCAACAUGGUCGAUACACAACAAAAGGCAAUGGAUUCUGUCGGAGUAAAAUAAAAUAAGACUGAAUAGAAGAGAGGGGCUUGCAGUGAGAGAAGGAUCUUGCAUCCAAGGAAGAGAGGUGAUAUGAACAGCAUUAAUGAUAAUAAAAUCAAGUAUCGAUCAAUCCUGAAAACUAUUGAAGAAACUUUGUAUCCUGCAGCACUAAAUAUUCAACCAAGACUUCUGUAUUCUACAAAGACAAACAAUUGAACCCAUCUCAUUAA